GUUGCUUCUGUAAUGAUUAUAUUGCUGAGUGUCCUGUUUAUGAUUGGUCAUUCAUAUUUGGAAGCAUAUAAUUGUGUUAUUGCCAGUUUUUAACAGCAUGAUGUGUAUUUAUUUUACAUUGUGUUACCUGUCUGCUGGUAAAUUU
rfam:Cicer arietinum chromosome Ca4, whole genome shotgun sequence.